AUUGAACGCUGGCGGCAUGCUUUACACAUGCAAGUCGAACGGUAACAGCACUUCGGUGGCUGACGAGUGGCGAACGGGUGAGUAAUACAUCGGAACGUGCCUCGUAGUGGGGGAUAACUACUCGCAAGAGUAGCUAAUACCGCAUGAGAUCUAAGGAUGAAAACCGGGGACCUUCGGGCCUUGCGCUACUAGAGCGGCUGAUGGCAGAUUAGGUAGUUGGUGGGAUAAAAGCUUACCAAGCCGACGAUCUGUAGCUGGUCUGAGAGGACGACCAGCCACACUGGGACUGAGACACGGCCCAGACUCCUACGGGAGGCAGCAGUGGGGAAUUUUGGACAAUGGGCGCAAGCCUGAUCCAGCAAUGCCGCGUGCAGGAUGAAGGCCUUCGGGUUGUAAACUGCUUUUGUACGGAACGAAAAGCCCUCUUCUAAUACAGGAGGGUCAUGACGGUACCGUAAGAAUAAGCACCGGCUAACUACGUG
rnacentral:rRNA from 1 species